UUCUCACUUAUGGCGCUAGUCAUGUAUGUGCUCGCGGUGUCAGGAUUCAAUUCACUGCCAUCCGUGCCUGGUUUCAUUUAGAAUGUUCUACCAAGGGACUUAAAUUUCGCCUAAAUUACCAAAGAUACACUUUAAGAAAGUGACUUGACCACCACUACAAUCAUUGUCUAUGAGAGCCUGAAGAAUACCAAGUACAGUGGAAAGAGGGAAUAAAGUAGGGGAUAAGUAUCUAUAAAGCAGUUUAAACCUAUAAACGUGGAUCGUGACAGCUUCACAGAAACACCCGAGGGCGGUAAAGGAUGAACGCAAAAACGGUCUACGCCGCAUCCAUCCGUGCGACUAUUUUUAGCGGAGGUGAUUGAAGUUUCAUUUGAAUCUCCAGAAAUAAUCUCCCAAAGAUUGCGCGGCUGGAAGUGAAAGGAGCGCAGGAAAUCUGGAGGUGAAUUAAAAAGCAGAUGGUCCUAUUGACGUGUCACCUCGGUGAUUUGCUAAGAUGUGUGCGGUCAUACACCCUGGGCAUUCUUUAAUCAUAUUGUUAAUUAAAAACUUGCUGAUGGCUGUAUACUAAUGAAACAAUUACCAGAUCCGAGCAUAUGACAAUGUUUUUUCAUAAAGAGAACAUAUGACACUAUUAUUGCAAAUAUGUUCCACGCAUUCUGCGCCCUCACA